rfam:Sphingobium quisquiliarum P25 contig165, whole genome shotgun sequence.
UGUGCGGGCCGGGCCCCUCUGGCGGCUGGAUGAUCCAGUUGCGAUGUCGGACCGCAUCG